UACGUGCCAGCAGCCGCGGUAAUACGUAGGGUGCGAGCGUUAUCCGGAAUUAUUGGGCGUAAAGAGCUCGUAGGCGGUUUGUCGCGUCUGUCGUGAAAGUCCGGGGCUUAACCCCGGAUCUGCGGUGGGUACGGGCAGACUAGAGUGCAGUAGGGGAGACUGGAAUUCCUGGUGUAGCGGUGGAAUGCGCAGAUAUCAGGAGGAACACCGAUGGCGAAGGCAGGUCUCUGGGCUGUAACUGACGCUGAGGAGCGAAAGCAUGGGGAGCGAACAGGAUUAGAUACCCUGGUAGUCCAUGCCGUAAACGUUGGGCACUAGGUGUGGGGACCAUUCCACGGUUUCCGCGCCGCAGCUAACGCAUUAAGUGCCCCGCCUGGGGAGUACGGCCGCAAGGCUAAAACUCAAAGGAAUUGACGGGGGCCCGCACAAGCGGCGGAGCAUGCGGAUUAAUUCGAUGCAACGCGAAGAACCUUACCAAGGCUUGACAUGUUCUCGAUCGCCGUAGAGAUACGGUUUCCCCUUUGGGGCGGGUUCACAGGUGGUGCAUGGUUGUCGUCAGCUCGUGUCGUGAGAUGUUGGGUUAAGUCCCGCAACGAGCGCAACCCUCGUUCCAUGUUGCCAGCACGUAGUGGUGGGGACUCAUGGGAGACUGCCGGGGUCAACUCGGAGGAAGGUGAGGACGACGUCAAAUCAUCAUGCCCCUUAUGUCUUGGGCUUCACGCAUGCUACAAUGGCCGGUACAAUGGGUUGCGAUACUGUGAGGUGGAGCUAAUCCCAAAAAGCCGGUCUCAGUUCGGAUUGGGGUCUGCAACUCGACCCCAUGAAGUCGGAGUCGCUAGUAAUCGCAGAUCAGCAACGCUGCGGUGAAUACGUUCCCGGGCCUUGUACACACCGCCC
rnacentral:rRNA from 1 species